rnacentral:snoRNA from 1 species
UUCGUGAUGAAAAUUAUUGGUCCGUGUUUAUGAAAUCGCAUGAUUUUAUGUAUUUCCAUACUUUCUGAUAAUU